GGCAUCGGGACGCGCCCGCGUUCCUCCGCGUGGGUCAGUCCUGCGCGGCCGGUGACCCUGCAGGGCUUGAGCCGGUGGGAGAGGAGAGGCCGGCUAGUCGGUGCCUGAGAAGGAAGAAGACUGUGUGAUUGAACCUGUGGAUCCCUGUCGCGUAUUUCUGCCUGAUUCAUUUUCCAGCGACCCUGGUGAAAAUCUACAAAAAGCCACCCUAGGGCCACAGGAUGGAGAGAGAAGAAUCAAUUUUUGUCUCUUCUAUCCAGUGAGAGGAGAGUUUGACUCACCGCAUUACAUGAACCAUCAAGAACUGUGUCCAUGGAAGUGUGGUCCCAAAUGUUUGAGGAGAAAGCUCUCCUGUGUACCUUAUUGCAAGGAACAAUGAACAGUGAACAUGAUUAGAGGAAUUUCUCUGAAUUCCCUCCACAUGCCCAGUGGUGCUCACUAUGGAUGGAAGAUGAAUGUACUGUCACAGGUAUCAGUGACAUUCCAGGAUGUGGCUGUGGACUUCACUGGGGAGGAGUGGCAGUUGCUGGGAUGUGCUCAAAGAAAGCUGUAUUGGGAUGUGAUGCUGGAGAACUUUAGAAACAUCCUCUCGGUGGGUAAGGACAGCUUCCCUGUGUAACUCAGGAGUAGCCCCUGUGCCCUUACUUUAAGACUUGGGAAAGCUGUGAAUGUUCGGCAGCUUUAACAAGUUUGGCCCAGAAUUUUUGUGGUCUAAGAUUCUUAACCCCCUUUGAGAUUAAAUGUAAACAGAUAAUAUGUCUAAUUCUUCUGCCUCCCAAAUGGAGAAGGGUCUUUUCCAUUCUAAAUCCUGUUCGUCAUUCUUCAUAGGCCCUGGACUACAGGAGGCAGACCCAAAUUGUCAGGUAGUUGUUUGUCUGUAGCACUUUGUCCCCAGUUCUGUGUUGUUUCCCAUGAACAAGGUGUCCGGUCCCCAAAACAAAAGUGAUCUUCAGAAUGAAGCAAGGACACGACCCAUGGAUGGUGGAUGGAGAGAACCCACAUUGGCACUGUCCAGUUGAGUCAGAGAAACCAGGCAGAUGGGAGUCUUUGGAAUUGAGAUCCCAGUUGGUCAGUGAGGGGAAGGCACCUUGGAACUUUUCAGGAAGCACUUCUUUUUUUUUUUUUUUUAAUGUCUUUUUUGACUUGUCACUUCCACUCUCCCACGUGGCUGCUCUUGUGCGGAGGGAUGUCCCUCCUCCCUGCUCUGGCUCCUCCCACUGCUGAUCCAACUCAGGGCUUGCUCGGUUCUCUCAGUUCCCAGAAUCCUCAUUCCUCUUCCUCCUCAACAUGGCCGAUCUUUUCAUACAUCCAGUUCUAACAACAUAGUCAGAUUGUGUUUAUUUGAAAUGUGAGAAAUGAUGUAAGAGUCCAGAGCGUUACGCUAAUAAGAUUCUCUCUUGAUGGAAGGCAGUCUCAGAAAUAGUGAGGAAUUGUCUUUUCUCUCAUUUCCCUUAACAUUAUUAUAUCAGUUGACUUAGCAUUUGUAGGGUUUUGAGCUUGGCAGUGGUGGUGUUGCAUGGGACAUGGUGUGGCAUCAUGGUAAUGGCAGUCAGAAUUAACCUUCCUAACUACACAGUAUAUAAAGACAAAAGUUGAUGAAGCCUAGGAGUCUUGUGGCUCAGAUUCCCAGGGUUAAUGGAAGCUAUAAGUGUGGAAACCAAAGUGUAAAAUUUGAAGAGUGAUGGCAGGGGCAAAGCAGGGUUCCGGAGACUAGAUUUAUGGAAGAUUGAAUGAGGUCAUAAAAAAUGGGACUCAUUAUCGGGAAAGAUUCCUUUCAAAUAGUAGAAAUAACUGAUGAUAGAAGCAAAAGUAGAUUAUGUCUGGUCUCUUAAACGUUCUGCUGAGUGGGUGUGUUCCUGGCUAUUUGUAAGCAUUGGAGGAUGAAUCCUAGCUGAAAGUGUAGUUGGGGGAAUUUCUACAAAUAUGUCCCAAGUGUGUUUUGGGUGGUUUGAGAGGAUAUGAGAAUGUGCCUAUAGGUAAAAGGGAGUUAAUGGCUUGACAGUUCACUUGGUGGUUGUGUGCAAGAAGAGUAAGAAGGACAAGAAGUGUCUGGAGACUGAGGAGGAUCCUAACAGAAUAAUUUAAAAUUUUUUUUUUCCUCUUUUUAGGGCCACACCUUCGGCAUAUGGACAUUCCCAGGCUGGGUGUCUAAUUGGAGCCGCAGCUGCUGGCCUACACCACAGCCACAGCCAUGCAGGAUCCAAGCCACAUCUGCAAUCUACACCACAGCUCACAGCAACGCUGGAUCCUUAACCCACUGAGUGAGGCCAGUGAUCUCAUGGAUACUAGUCGGGUUCGUAACCCACUGAGCCACACGGGAAGUUCCAGGAUAAUUUAAUUUUUAAAUAUUGUAGAUCUUGGCUCUGAUAAGAUUCCUCCAAACCAGUCCAGCUCUUCUCAUUUCCCCAUAAUGCCUUCAUCUCCUUUUCCCCUGGUCACCCUCUUUAUUCAUUCCUCUUAGAUGGCUGUCCCUAUUCUCAGAGCUUACUCUACAUCCUUGUAAGAGCCCAUUUUAACUUUCUUUGUCCUCAUUAUAACAUUACUUUGUGCCUCUUUCACCAUCUUUCACAGGUUGAAAAGUCAUAUUUAUAAGUAGAAAAACCUACUUGUUCUCAUUAUUGUUUUCCAGAGGCCUCCACUUAAGCAGUGUCUUCUUAAUGUUGAGGGCAGGGAAAAUACAGAUUUCUUUUUUGUUUUGUAGUCUAGAAUGGGAAGCUAGAGCUGAAACCAGAGACUUUGUGUAUGUGUCUGUGAUUUAAAAUAAAAAGCAUUAUUUGAAAUC
rnacentral:lncRNA from 1 species